rnacentral:lncRNA from 1 species
GGCUCUCUUGGUUCAAGAACGCUAAAGCAGCCGCCGCGCCAGCCGCCAUGCUGAAACGGCCGUGGGAGCCCCGCCCCCCACGCACCGAACGCCGCCUCAGCCAGUUCCGGCCCCGCCCAUUAAAGGAGCCGCGCUCGCCGCACGAGGCACCUGGACCCCGCGUGGGGUGGGAGCAGCUGUCGCCUCUUCCACAAGGACAGCCAUGUCUCCAAAGAACAGAGACAUUUCAUUCAGCACACCAAGGAGAAUAGAGAGUGACUGAUCUUCAUUGCUCUUAGGUGAGAAAUGCAACCACACUGGAUGCAGAAAAUAGUGCUGACUCCAUUUAUUUAAGAACCUCUCCCUAGAGAGCCCCAUGUAAGAGGCCCUGACCCUAACACAAGACCCAAAGAGGAGCACACCACAAGCUGCAUGGGGUAUGCAGCAAUGCUAUCUUCUCCCAACCAGUGAGCAUCUGAAAAUGGGAUGGGUGCGCUUCACAGUCAUCUCUGUUUCCAAUCCAACUGGCUGAUCUGCUGCCGCUCCAGACACUGAACUGUGUGAAGACCUCAACCACCAACCACAAGGUGGAGUUAAGGGACUUUUGGACAGUUCACAGUGCCAACAAGUAUCACAGGCUUCGACCAAGUAUAACCACAUCCUUUGGAAAUCCUUCCAUUUUUGCAAUUUCAAAACAGCCUAACUUGCUGUAAAAUUCCAGAAUCCUUUUAUCAUCUGGUCUUACUUCACAGAAAGCCCCCCGGGAACCUAGAAAUAAAACAAAUGUAUUAAAUGUAA